CCAAUCGAACUCGGAGAUAGCUGGUUCUCCCCGAAAUAGCUUUAGGGCUAGCCUCGAUUUAGAUUCAUGGGGGUAGAGCACUGAAUGGGCUAGGGGGCCACAAAGCUUACCGAACCCUAUCAAACUACGAAUACCAAGGAAUCGAUGAUCGGGAGUCAGACAGUGAGAGAUAAGUUCCAUUGUCGAGAGGGAAACAGCCCAGACCUACGACUAAGGUCCCAAAGUACACGUUAAGUGGAAAAGGAUGUGCAGUUGCACAGACAACCAGGAUGUUGGCUUAGAAGCAGCCAUACAUUUAAAGAGUGCGUAAUAGCUCACUGGUCGAGUGAAUGUGCGCCGAAAAUGUACCGGGGCUAAACGUGACACCGAAGUCUAGGGAUCAGAAAUGAUCGGUAGGGGAGCAACGUAUACGGGAAGAAGCGUAAGCGGAAGCGAGCGUGGACUGUAUGGGAGAGAGAAUGCCGGCAUGAGUAGCGAGAGCAAAGUGAGAAUCUUUGCCGUCGAAAGCCUAAGGUUUCCUGAGGUAGGCUCGUCCACUCAGGGUAAGUCGGGACCUAAGCCGAGGACAGAAGUCGUAGGCGAUGGAGAUCAGGUUGAUAUUCCUGAACCGUCUUUAGCGUUUGACAGAAGCAGUGACACAGAAGGAUAGACAGAGCGGAGGAAUGGAAGACUCCGUCCAAGCGUUGAGGCCGUAACGUAGUGAAGUACGCGUUGCAAGGCUGGGGCGUGAAGGGGACCGAAAAUAAGUAGGGAAGCUGUUGAAUUCACGCUGGCGAGAAAAGCUGCUAUGGAGCGAAAAGGCGCCCGUACCGCAAACCGACACAGGUAGGCGAGGAGAGAAUCCUAAGACGAGCGGGAGAACCCUUGUUAAGGAACUCGGCAAAAUGACCCCGUAACUUCGGGAGAAGGGGUGCCUCGAGAGAGGCCGCAGAGAAUAGGCCCAAGCGACUGUUUACCAAAAACACAGGUCUGUGCGAAGUAGAGAUACGACGUAUACGGGCUGACGCCUGCCCAGUGCCGGAAGGUUAAGGGGAAGUGUCAGGGGGAGACCCCGAAGCACGGAACUUAAGCCCCGGUGAACGGCGGCCGUAACUAUAACGGUCCUAAGGUAGCGAAAUUCCUUGUCGGGUAAGUUCCGACCCGCACGAAUGGCGUAACGACUUGGGCACUGUCUCAACAAGGGACCCGGCGAAAUUGUAGUAUGUGUGAAGAUGCACAUUACCCGCGAUAGGACGGAAAGACCCCGUAGAGCUUUACUGUAGUUUAAUAUUGGAUUUUGAUAACAUAUGUACAGGAUAGGUGGGAGACGGAGAAAUGAGGACGCCAGUCUUCAUGGAGUCAACCUUGGGAUACCACUCUUGUGUUAUUGGAAUUCUAACGAGAUGCCGUGAACCGGGUUUCGGACAGUGUUAGAUGGGCAGUUUGACUGGGGCGGUCGCCUCCGAAAGAGUAACGGAGGCGUCCAAAGGUUCCCUCAGAAUGGUUGGAAACCAUUCGCAGAGUGCAAAGGCAGAAGGGAGCUUGACUGCGAGACCGACAGGUCGAGCAGGUACGAAAGUAGGGCUUAGUGAUCCGGCGGUAUGAGAGUGGAAUUGCCGUCGCUCAACGGAUAAAAGCUACCCUGGGGAUAACAGGCUUAUCUCCCCCAAGAGUUCACAUCGACGGGGAGGUUUGGCACCUCGAUGUCGGCUCGUCGCAUCCUGGGGCUGGAGUAGGUCCCAAGGGUUUGGCUGUUCGCCAAUUAAAGCGGCACGCGAGCUGGGUUCAGAACGUCGUGAGACAGUUCGGUCCCUAUCUGUUGCGGGCGUAAGAGAUUUGAAGGGAGCUGUCCUUAGUACGAGAGGACCGGGAUGGACGUACCUCUGGUGCACCAGUUGUCCUGCCAAGGGCAUAGCUGGGUAGCUAUGUACGGACGAGAUAAACGCUGAAAGCAUCUAAGCGUGAAACUCCCCCUAAGAUGAGAUCUCUCAUCCUUUAAGGAGUAAGGACCCAGAAAGACGAUCUGGUUGAUAGGCCGAAGGUGGAAGCGCAGUAAUGUGUGGAGCUGAUCGGUACUAAUAGUCCGAGGGCUUGACCU
rnacentral:rRNA from 1 species